rnacentral:rRNA from 1 species
CCUACGGGAGGCAGCAGUGGGGAAUAUUGGACAAUGGGCGAAAGCCUGAUCCAGCAAUGCCGCGUGUGUGAAGAAGGCCUUCGGGUUGUAAAGCACUUUAGCCUGGAAAGAAAACGCUCAAGCGAACACCUUGAGCCUUGACGGUACCAGGAGAAUAAGCACCGGCUAACUCUGUGCCAGCAGCCGCGGUAAUA